rnacentral:tRNA from 1 species
GGAGCUAUGGUGUAAUGGUUAGCAUAGCAGACUUUGACUCUGUUGAUUAAGGUUCAAAUCCUUAUAGCUCUGCCA